GCCGAACAAGCCCUAUAAGAAAUCGGCCCGUAUUGUCGGCGAAGUUUUAGGUAAAUAUCACCCCCAUGGUGACAGCUCCGUCUAUGAUGCGACCGUCCGCCUGGCCCAGGAUUUCUCGACGCGCUAUCCUUUAGUCGAUGGUCACGGCAACUUCGGUUCCGUCGAUGGUGACUCGGCUGCGGCUAUGCGUUAUACCGAAGUCCGCAUGGCGAAGAUUACCGGCGAAAUGCUGGAAGAUAUCGACAAGGAAACGGUCGAUUUCAUGCCCAACUACGACGGCUCCCUGCAGGAACCGACGGUCUUGCCGUCGAAGAUCCCGAACCUCCUGGUCAAUGGCUCGGCUGGGAUCGCCGUCGGCAUGGCGACGAAUAUUCCGCCUCAUAAUUUAGGCGAAGUCAUCGACGGCUGUGUCCUGCUCAUCGAUAACCCUGAAGCCAGCCUGGAAGAAAUCAUGACCAAAAUCAAAGGCCCUGAUUUCCCGACGGGUGCUAAAAUCAUGGGCCGCGAUGGCAUCAUCAAAGCCUAUUCGACGGGCCGGGGCAGUAUCAAGAUGCGGUCCUGUGCGACUAUCGAACCGAUGAAUAAAGGGAAGCACCGCAUCGUCGUGACGGAAAUCCCCUAUCAGGUCAAUAAAGCGCGGGUCAUCGAGUCCAUUGCCGACUUGUCCCGCAACAAGGAAAUCGACGGCAUCACGGCCCUGCGCGAUGAAUCGGACCGCAAGGGUAUGCGCAUCGUCGUCGAACUGCGGGCCGAUGUCAAUCCCGAUAUCGUCCUGAAUAAAUUGUAUAAACACACGCAGCUCCAGGAAACGUUCGGCGUCAUCAUGCUGGCCCUCGUCAACGGCCAUCCGCGCGUCCUGACACUCAAACAGAUCCUGAACUACUAUCUCGACCAUCAGAAAGAUGUCAUUACCCGCCGCAGCAAGUUUGAACUCGACAAGGCCCUGGCACGGGCUCACAUCUUAGAAGGCCUGCUCAUCGCCCUGGACCACAUCGACGAAGUCAUCAAGACGAUCCGCGAAUCGGCGACAGACGACAUUGCCAAACAAUCCUUGAUGAGCAAGUUCGGCCUCAGCGAAAAACAGGCCAUCGCCAUCCUCGACAUGCGCCUGCGCCGCCUGACGGGUCUGGAACGAGAAAAAAUCGAAGAAGAAUAUGCUGAAUUGGAAAAACGCAUCGCUUACCUGCGCAGCGUCCUGGCUGACGAACAUAAAGUCAUGGAAAUCGUAAAGACGGAACUCCUCGAUGCCAAGAAGAAAUUUGGCGACGAACGGCGCACACAGAUCGUAGCCGACUCGUCGGAUUUCUCCAUCGAAGACAUGAUCCCCAACGAACGCAUGGUCCUCACCUUGACCCGCCGAGGCUACAUGAAGCGUAUCAACGCCAAUGUAUACCAUACGCAGAAUAAAGGCGGCCGCGGUAUCAAGGGCAUGGGGACGAAGGACGAAGACGCCGUAAACCACCUGCUCUAUACGUCGGCAUGGAAUACAGUCCUGUUCUUCACCAACUUCGGCCGCGUCUAUCGCCUGAAGGCUUACGAAAUCCCGGAAGCCAACAGCCGUAACUCCAAGGGCAUUGCCGCCAUCAAUAUCCUGCCCUUGUCCAAUGGCGAAAAAGUCAACGCCCUCAUCGACCUCGACCAGGUCGACCCGUCGAUGAACCUGUUCAUGGUCACCGAAAAAGGGCUGGUAAAGAAGACCCCUCUUCAUGAAUUCAAGAACGUCCGCCGCAACGGCCUCAUCGCUAUUUCCCUUAUGGAAGGCGACCACCUGGCCAAAGUGCGCCUGACCAACGGCGACCAGACGAUCAUCUUGGCGACGAAACUGGGCAUGGCCAUCUGCUUCAAUGAAAACGAUGUCCGUCCUAUGGGCCGGAAUACCCGCGGUGUCCGCGGCAUCACACUGUCUGAAGGCGACCGAUUACCCGCGAUGGGACGAAAAGACCCCGUGAACCUUUACUGCAGCUUAACGUUGUGACCGGGCAGCGGAUGUGUAGGAUAGGCCGGAGGCUAUGAAGGGGGCACGCCAGUGUUCCUGGAGCCGCCGUUGAAAUACGGCCCUUCCUCUGUCUGGUUCCUAACCCGCUUGAUGCGGGGACACCGUUUGGCGGGCAGUUUGACUGGGGUGGUCGCCUCCAAAAGCGUAACGGAGGCUUCUAAAGGUGCCCUCAGGCCGAUUGGUAACCGGCCGCAGAGUGUAAUGGCAAAAGGGCGCUUGACUGGGAGGCCGACAAGCCGAUCAGGUGGGAAACCAGAGCAUAGUGAUCCGGUGGUUCCGUAUGGAAGGGCCAUCGCUCAAAGGAUAAAAGGUACUCCGGGGAUAACAGGCUGAUCCCUCCCAAGAGCUCAUAUCGACGGAGUGGUUUGGCACCUCGAUGUCGGCUCGUCACAUCCUGGGGCUGGAGAAGGUCCCAAGGGUUGGGCUGUUCGCCCAUUAAAGUGGCACGCGAGCUGGGUUCAGAACGUCGUGAGACAGUUCGGUCUCUAUCUAUCGUGGGCGUAUGAAAUUUGCGUGGCUCUGACACUAGUACGAGAGGACCGUGUUGGACUGACCUCUGGUUUACCGGUUGUGCCGCCAGGCGCACCGCCGGGUAUCCAUGUCGGGAUCGGAUAAGCGCUGAAAGCAUCUAAGUGCGAAGCCGGCCACAAGAUUAGAUUUCCUCAUGAGGGUCGUCAAAGACGAUGACGUUGAUAGGAGGCAGGUGUAAAGACAGCGAUGUCAAAGCCGAGCCUUACUAAUUGCCCGAAACUUGCAGCC
rnacentral:rRNA from 1 species